ensembl:misc_RNA Y_RNA Y RNA
GACUGGUCUGAAGGUAGUGAGUUAUCUGAAUUGAUUGUUCACAGUCACAGAUCAAACUCCUUGUUCUACUCUUUUCUCCCUUCUCAUUACUGCACUUGACUAGUCUUUU